rnacentral:snRNA from 1 species
AAACUCUAAUCGUACUUUCUAAA